rnacentral:rRNA from 1 species
AAUGAACGCUGGCGGCGUGCUUAACACAUGCAAGUCGAACGAGAAAGUCCUUCGGGAUGAGUACAGUGGCGAACGGGUGAGUAACGCGUAAGAAUUUACCCUUUAGUGAAGAAUACCCUCGAGAAAUCGAGGCUAAUACUGCAUACGUCCCUUCGGGGAGAAAGGUGGCCUCUUGCUACCGCUAAAGGAUAAGCUUGCGUACUAUUAGCUAGUUGGUGAGGUAAUGGCUCACCAAGGCGAUGAUGGUUAGCCGACCUGAGAGGGUGACCGGCCACAUUGGGACUGAGAUACGGCCCAGACUCCUACGGGUGGCUG